GUAUACAUUAUAAAGGCACAACAUUCUAUCGACAUACAUUGGGGUAAAAUGAGCAAACAUAGACCUGAAAGGUCUACAAAAAGUGCACAGGUGGAGAUAUAAAGAUGACAAGGCGUGCACAUGCUCCCUAGAGAACCAGCAACAACCCAUCAGGUUUAUUUCAAUAAUGAUCCUUCCGCAGGUUCACCUACGGAAA
rnacentral:misc_RNA from 1 species